AAGUUCAAAUUGUAUUCCAGGACCUGGAGACGAGGAACUGGACCUGAUGAAACCACCACCAUCGAGCCGGCAGGGCGCGGUGCCAGUGACCGGGAACAACAAGGAAGCUACAGUUACCAGCAGACACUGAAACUGGGAGGGAGGGUCAGCUCCGUCCCCCUGGGAAUGGGCUAUGCCCUCGCAUCGCAGGAAAGAACUAAAAUGAAAGACUUCAUACACACAUCGGUCAACUUUCCUGAGCUCUUCAUCUCUGGAAGGCUCUGCCCUCAACACUUCACUCACACAGACGCCCUGUCGGGACUGGGCCGGGUGGUGCCACAGUGCAAGCAGCAGGUGCCCAGAGGCUCCCACGGACUCGCAGGAUUGUCCUCUGACACGUGUGGACACACACAGCACACAAGCGUGGGGGCUGUGCCUCUGCCACGUCCCGUGCCCUCUC